CCAAUAGCGUAUAUUAAAGUUGUUGCAGUUAAAAAGCUCGUAGUUGGAUUUCUGGUCGGAAGCUCCUGUCCUCUGAUGAGCGUACAAGUGCGUCCUACCAUCCUUCUGUUAACCUUUAAGGCUUUCGCGGCUUUCUAGGGGCUCAGAUAUUUUACCUUGAGAAAAUUAGAGUGUUUCAGGCAGGCUAGCGCCGGAAUACAUUAGCAUGGAAUAAUGGAAUAGGACUUUUGCCUCUUCUGUUGGUCAUGAGGCUCGAGUAAUGAUUAAUAGGGAUAGUUGGGGGCAUUAGUACUUAACUGUCAGAGGUGAAAUUCUCGGAUUUGUUAAAGACUAACUUAUGCGAAAGCAUUUGCCAAGGAUGUUUUCAUUAA
rnacentral:rRNA from 1 species